rnacentral:rRNA from 1 species
CCACCUGGGGAGUACGCCGGCAACGGUGAAACUCAAAGGAAUUGACGGGGGCCCGCACAAGCGGAGGAACAUGUGGUUUAAUUCGAUGAUACGCGAGGAACCUUACCCGGGCUUGAACUGCAGCGGAAGGAUACAGAGAUGUUGACGCCCUUCGGGGCCGCUGUGAAGGUGCUGCAUGGUUGUCGUCAGCUCGUGCCGUGAGGUGUCGGCUUAAGUGCCAUAACGAGCGCAACCCUUGCUGUCAGUUGCCAUCAGGUAGAGCUGGGCACUCUGGCGGGACUGCCAUCGCAAGAUGUGAGGAAGGUGGGGAUGACGUCAAAUCAGCACGGCCCUUACGUCCGGGGCUACACACGUGUUACAAUGGGGGGUACAGAAUGUUGCUUACGGGUGACCGUUGGCGGAUCAUUAAAUCCCCUCUCAGUUCGGACUGGAGUCUGCAACCCGACUCCACGAAGCUGGAUUCGCUAGUAAUCGCGCAUCAGCCAUGGCGCGGUGAAUACGUUCCCGGGCCUUGUACACACCGCCCGUCAAGCCAUGAAAGCCGGGGGCGCCUGAAGUCCGUUACCGCGAGGAUCGGCCUAGGGCGAAACUGGUAAUUGGGGCUAAGUCGUAACAAGGUAACCGUA